GCCGCGGUAAAACCAGCACCUCAAGUGGUCAGGAGGAUUAUUGGGCCUAAAGCAUCCGUAGCCUGUUCUAUAAGUUUGCGGUUAAAUCUAUAUGCUCAACGUAUAGGCUGCCGUAAAUACUGUAGAACUAGGGAGUGGGAGAGGUAGACGGUACUCGGUAGGAAGGGGUAAAAUCCUUUGAUCUAUCGAUGACCACCUGUGGCGAAGGCGGUCUACCAGAACACGUUCGACGGUGAGGGAUGAAAGCUGGGGGAGCAAACCGGAUUAGAUACCCGGGUAGUCCCAGCUGUAAACGAUGCAGACUCGAUGAUGCAAUGGCAUAGAGCUAUUGCAGUAUCGCAGGGAAGCCGUUAAGUCUGCCGCCUGGGAAGUACGUACGCAAGUAUGAAACUUAAAGGAAUUGGCGGGGGAGCACGGUCAUAGCUGGUUUCCUGA
rnacentral:rRNA from 1 species